AAAAAGACAAACCCUGAAUUUCCGUGUCCAACUUUGACUAUCCGUCUUAUAUGAAAUUGUUUUAUAAUUCGUAUUUUUAUUGUUGUUAGAUGAUAAAACAUGAUUAAUAUUUUAUGCGUGACUUGUCUUUUUAAUUUUUUUCAUAAUUUUUUCAAAUAAGACGGACGGUCAAACGUUAGACACGGAAACC
rnacentral:pre_miRNA from 1 species